rnacentral:rRNA from 1 species
CCUACGGGAGACAGCAGUGAGGAAUAUUGGUCAAUGGGCGAAAGCCUGAACCAGCCAAGUAGCGUGAAGGAUGAGGGCGCUAUGGGGUGUAAACCUCUGUUAUAGGGGAAUAAAAUGUGGCACGUGUGGGAUUUUGUAUGUACCUUAUGAAUAAGGAUCGGCUAACUCCGUGCCAGCAGCCGCGGUAAUACGGAGGAUCCGAGCGUUAUCCGGAUUUAUUGGGGUUAAAGGGUGCGUUGGCGGCUUGUUAAGUCAGUUGUGAAAGUUUGCGGCUCAACCGUAGAAUUGCCGUUGAAACUGGCAGUCUUGAGUACAGUAGAGGUAGGCGGAAUUCGUGGUGUAGCGGUGAAAUGCUUAGAUAUCACGAAGAACUCCGAUUGCGAAGGCAGCUCACUGGAC